UGGAUGCUGAGAUUCCUAAGUGAACGGUC
rnacentral:piRNA from 1 species